UCCCAACAGGAAGGUAUGCCCUUGAGAUUUCUCAAGUCCCCUCAGAGGUCUGGAGGAGGAUUCCUGGCUCCCUGCUUGAGCGGGUCACAUCAGACUCCAAAAGGAGGAGGAUACAAUCUGUCUGUCUGCCCACCUGAUUCUGCAGAAUUCACCUGCCACAUCUGUCAUCACAAGAGGCCAAGGAAUGUCACCUGUUCGGUGAGCAGAGCCAAGGAGAAGAUGCUCAAGCAGGCCCAGGAAGCUGAAGGAAAUUGCAAGAGGGAAAGUCAUGACAUCCUCCAGCACAGGAGCCAGCUGUAGGUCCUUCAGGCGAGAGCUCUGGUGUGGGCAUCAGAAGCCCAGUGUUUGUCCCAACUCAUAAACUGCCUGCUGUGUGACUGUGGUCUUGCACUCCUCAAGGUGGGGACUCCGAGUCAGGUCUCAGUGUCAUCACCCAGACUCACCUGGCUGAAGCCUGAAAGGAAGGUGCCUUUGCCAUGUUGAAGCUCAAUCCUUCCUGCCCCUGUUUUUCAUUCGUUCACUCAGUAAAAAUCUCUGAGCUCCGGA